rnacentral:lncRNA from 1 species
GGCAAAGGUCGGAUGACAAAGAUAAUAAACAAGACCUUGGCCUCUUGGCCUUCUGGUCCCGAUAUAUAUCUUAUACAUCAUCCUCAUAAAUAAAUCGAACACCAACACCAGCAUCAUCUCCUUCCUGUCCUUCUCCACCAACAAAUUACACAUAACAUGCUACACCACAGCUCACAUAACCAAUCUUCAGCCAUGUCUACAUCCAGCAACACGUUCAGCGGAUUCUGUAACUGCUUACAACACCACCUGCAGAAAAAAUCUCAAAUCAUCUUCUGCUUUCCGCCAACAACCAAACUUAAAUAUUGCUAAAAUUCCUCAUGAUCGAAGAAAGCAUGGCCGGAAGGGACAGAUCCGCUUAAUAUUUGAGCUAUCGAAACAGAGCCGCGCCACAUCUACAGAACAAAAUUAGAUUUACGCGGAUUAAUGACUUGAUCAAUAACCAAUAGACAGAUAUUCAAUCAGAUCUAGCUUAGGAACGUAAACAAAACACUUAUACAUACCUCUGGAGCUAUCUCCGAGCAAAUCAAGAUCAUGGAGUUCGAGCAUCGAAACGGAUAUCAAGAUAAAGAUCGCAAGGCGAUCUAUAUGAAGCUGCAAUUGAAAAGAUCGAAGGAUGAUCCAUGAAGAGUAGAUCUAUGGAGAAACUAGAGCUUUGCUGAUAAGAUUAGGUAGAUAUGAAAGUUGUGUAUGUGAUUAUUAUAUAGAGG